GGGGGUAGAGCUCAGCGGUAGAGCGUAUGCUUAGCAUGCAUGAGGUCCUGGGUUCAAUCCCCAAUACUUCCA
rnacentral:tRNA from 1 species